rnacentral:lncRNA from 1 species
CGGGCUCCACCCCGACGGACCUAGGUGAGGACAGGUAUUUCCUGCCCAAAUGUUGCAUUUCCCAAGACCACCCUGGCCUGCCACGCCCCCAUCUUGGGCCUAUAAAAACCCGAGGCGCCCUACCCCCAGCAGGUAGACACAAAAAGCGGCUGAGCAUUGUGAGGAACACGUCGGCAGAGGAAGAUACAAGCCACUGGUCAUCGAGGGCACACUGGCAGAAGAGCACGCCAACAGGCACUAGCAGGUCGACAAGCCGGGCCAUAGACUGGUGGAAUGACGCGAAGUUUUCCAGGGGAAAACCAUCUCCCUUCUGGCUCCCCCAUCUGCUAAGAGUUACUUCUACUCAAUAAGACCUUGUACUCAUUCUCUAAGCCCGUGUGUGCUCCAAUUCUCCUGGUACACCAAGGGCUGUGCAGGGUGGAACUCAGGCAAUGAAUGCAGUGCAGUGAAAAGAAUGUGACCUGCAGAGGCAUUCUGACUUGAUUUCAACUUCUGGCUUUGUGACUAACUGGUAGUGUCAGCUUUGAGAAAUGAUUUAAUGCUUCUGACCCUCAGUUUUCCUCAUCUGUAAAAUGGACCUGAUUUUCAGAGUUAUGCACCGGCACCACCCCUGGAGUUCUGUACGUCAGCAUCAGCCUGAAGAUCAAGUCCUCAUCAAACGGUAAAAAGAAAAAUAUUUUGAACCCGCUUAGAAAGGACCCUACCUGGUGCUUCUAACUACUGAAUCUACAGUCUGAACAGUGGAAAGAGGAUGGACUCACCAUACCCAAGUCAAAGAAACGCCACAACCUUCAGAGUCAUGGGCCAUUGUUCCAAGAUCAAGCCGUAUCAAAUUAAAGCUAAAAAUACCUUAACCCUCCUAUACCUUUUUUAUUGUUUCUCCCUCUUUCCCCACUCUAUUGUUAGCCAUCUUGUUAUCAAUGUAACUAGGUCUGACUCGCCCCAAACUAUUGCUUUUGAUGCUUGUCUGGUUACACCUUGUGGGGAUCUAAAAAACCAAAGACAACUAGCCUUUUCAGAUAAGUAUCUUUGCCCUGGCCCUCUAAUUCCAAAGUUUCCCCUAGCCCUCACCAUUGUGAUCACCUACAGCCAAGACGCCAUUUCUUUAUUUCCACAGCCUGACAGCCUUAUAGUGUUUGAGACUAUGUUCUCUAGACCACACAAUACCAAAGUUAGACCUCUGCAGUGAGGGUUUGCAUUAAUCUAAAGCUUUACCUCCAUUUUACCAAAGGAACUACUCCCCCUGAUUGCCAGUCUCAUCAAUGCAACCCCAUCCUCAUUUCCAUUACCAUCUCUACCUCCACUGACCCUAGGCCCACCCUCAGUAGUCUCUAUGGUGUAGGGGCCAAUUAUAAUGAGAGAGAUCCUGUAAGUAUCUUUCAAAUAUACCUCUUUUCCCACCUCCUCUUCCCCCAUCCCCGAUAAUUUCAACUUUGAAUGAAACACCUGUUAUUCCUGUACCUAAUGAUAAAACCAAGGUGUCCCUGGUAAAAGUAAAAGAUCUAAAACAAACCCUAGCAAUUGAGACAGGACAUCAAGAUACAAAUGCCUGACUGGAAUGAAUUAAACAUUCCAUCCACACCCUAGGUAAAAGUGACUGUUAUCCUUGUGCGCACGGUAGACCAGAGGCCCAGAUCAUCCCCUUUCUACUUGGAUGGUCUCCCCGUCAACCGGACAUGAGCUGUAUGGUAGCUCGUUUCUAAAACAGCACUGCCUGGGAUGACUGAUUGUGCCAAGCUGUUUCUCUGCUGUUCCCAGAAGUUCAACACCCUGUUAGCCCCUGAGGUCCAUUCAGCCUCUGCCUUCCAAUGUCAAGUUUACCUCAUAUCUCAUGACAGGGAGAAGACUUGGCAUUCCUCAGAGACUUAAAGGGAUACAAGAGCUUAGGCACUUCCAAGAGCUUACCCAUCAGUCUGCCCUUAGUCAUCCCUGAGCGGAUGUCUGGUGGUAUUGUGACAGACCCCUACUGGACACUCUGCCAAGUAACUGGAGUGGAAUGUGUGCUCUAAUUCAAUUGGCUGUCCCUUUUACCUUGACAUUUCAUCAACCAGAGAAAGUAAAAACAAAAUGCCAUAGGCCAAGAGAGACCCCUUAUAAGUCCUUUGAUCCUCAGGAUUAUAUAGAUGCCAUCGAGGUUCCACGAGGAGUGCCAAAUGAAUUUAAAGCCCAAAACCAAAUAGCUACAGGGUUUAAAUCC